GAUGAAGAACGUAGCGAAAUGCGAUAAGUAAUGUGAAUUGCAGACUUCAGUGAAUCAUCGAAUCUUUGAACGCACAUUGCGCCCGCCAGUAUUCUGGCGGGCAUGCCUGUUCGAGCGUCAUUACAACCCUCAGGCCCCCGGGCCUGGCGUUGGGGAUCGGCGGAGCCCCCCGUGGGCACACGCCGUCCCCCAAAUGCAGUGGCGGUCCCGCCGCAGCUUCCAUCGCGUAGUAGCUAACACCUCGCGACUGGAGAGCGGCGCGGCCACGCCGUAAAACACCCAACUCUUCUGAAGUUGACCUCGAAUCAGGUAGGAAUACCCGCUGAACUUAAGCAUAUCAAUAAGCGGAGGA
rnacentral:misc_RNA from 1 species